AGGUUGAAUCGUUCAACUUGUUGUUCGAUAGCUUAGUCGGUUGUCCAGUUGGUUGUUCAAACGUUCGAUUGGUGCAAUUGCUGCUAGUAUGCGCUAAGGUAUUCGCUGCUUGUAUAUGCUUUAAACGGUGUUGGAAGAGGACUAUAUCACUUGUUGGUAUAGAACCCUUCCGCAUUGUGUGGUAUAUUCGUAGUGAAUAUAAAUUCGGUGUGUGUAUGGAUCACUAUGGUUCUCUGAGCUGUGGCGUUCAUUGAUUCUUGGUGGUUUUUUGCAUUUGACAGUGGCGUGCCACUUUGUCUUAUGUGUCCAAGGCUGUCGAUCGAUGUUCUUGUUACAGUUAGUGAUCUAUAUUCUUAGCGUUAAAGUCGAUCACCUAUCCGACCCGUCUUGAAACACGGACCAAGGAGUUUAGCAUAUGCGCGAGUCAUUGGGUGGUAAACCUAUAGGCGUAAUGAAAGUAAAGUAUACAUCUUGUAUGUAUCGAUAUGGGAUUCAUGCAGAUGUCUCAUUUAGCGAUCUGGCGCGUGCUGACUGGGGCAUUCAUAGUUACUGCAUGACGCACCAUAGCCCCGUUUAUGUUUAGCAUUGCUAACUAGGCGGAGGUAGAGCGUAUAUGCUAAGACCCGAAAGAUGGUGAACUAUGCUUGAACAGGAUGAAGCCAGAGGAAACUCUGG
rnacentral:rRNA from 1 species